rnacentral:rRNA from 1 species
CCUACGGGAGGCUGCAGUGAGGAAUAUUGGUCAAUGGGCGCGAGCCUGAACCAGCCAAGUAGCGUGAAGGAUGACUGCCCUACGGGUUGUAAACCUCUUUUAUAAAGGAAUAAAGUGAGGCACGUGUGCCUUUUUGUAUGUACUUUAUGAAUAAGGAUCGGCUAACUCCGUGCCAGCAGCCGCGGUAAUCCGGAGGAUCCGAGCGUUAUCCGGAUUUAUUGGGUUUAACGGGAGCGUAGAUGGGUUAGUAAGUCAGUUGUGAAAGGUUGCGGCUCAACCGUAAAAUUGCAAUUGAUACUGGCAGUCUUGAGUACAGUUGAGGUAGGCGGAAUUCGUGGUGUAGCGGUGAAAUGCUUAGAGAUCACGAAGAACUCUGAUUGCGAAGGCAGCUUACUAAACUGCCACUGACAUUGAUGCGCGAAAGUGUGGGUAUCAAACAGGAUUAGAUACCCGGGUAGUC